rnacentral:rRNA from 1 species
UACGUAGGGGGCUAGCGUUGUCCGGAAUCAUUGGGCGUAAAGAGCGUGUAGGCGGCCCGGUAAGUCCGCUGUAAAAGUCAAGGGCUCAACCUUUGAAUGUCAGUGGAUACUGCCGGGCUAGAGUCCGGAAGAGGCGAGUGGAACUCCUGGUGUAGCGGUGGAAUGCGCAGAUAUCAGGAAGAACACCAACGGCGAAGGCAGCUCGCUGGGACGGUACUGACGCUGAGACGCGAAAGCGUGGGGAGCGAACAGG